rnacentral:rRNA from 1 species
UACCAGCACCCCGAGUGGUCGGGACGAUUAUUGGGCCUAAAGCAUCCGUAGCCGGUCCUACAAGUCUUCCGUUAAAUCCACCUGCUUAACAGAUGGGCUGCGGAAGAUACUAUAGGGCUAGGAGGCGGGAGAGGCAAGCGGUACUCAGUGGGUAGGGGUAAAAUCCUCUGAUCCAUUGAAGACCACCAGUGGCGAAGGCGGCUACCUGGACCGGUUCUGACGCUGAGGCGCGAAAGCGUGGGUAGCAAACAGG